rnacentral:rRNA from 1 species
UACGUAGGGUGCAAGCGUUAAUCGGAAUUACUGGGCGUAAAGCGUGCGCAGGCGGUUCGGAAAGAAAGAUGUGAAAUCCCAGGGCUCAACCUUGGAACUGCAUUUUUUAACUACCGGACGUAGAGUAUGUCAGAGGGAGGUGGAAAUUCCACGUGUAGCAGUGAAAUGCGUAGAUAUGUGGAGGAACACCGAUGGCGAAGGGCAGCCUCCUGGGAUAAUACUGACGCUCAUGCACGAAAGCGUGGGGAGCAAACAGG